rnacentral:rRNA from 1 species
AUUGAACGCUGGCGGCAGGCCUAACACAUGCAAGUCGAACGGUAACAGGAAGCAGCUUGCUGCUUUGCUGACGAGUGGCGGACGGGUGAGUAAUGUCUGGGAAACUGCCUGAUGGAGGGGGAUAACUACUGGAAACGGUAGCUAAUACCGCAUAACGUCGCAAGACCAAAGAGGGGGACCUUCGGGCCUCUUGCCAUCGGAUGUGCCCAGAUGGGAUUAGCUAGUAGGUGGGGUAACGGCUCACCUAGGCGACGAUCCCUAGCUGGUCUGAGAGGAUGACCAGCCACACUGGAACUGAGACACGGUCCAGACUCCUACGGGAGGCAGCAGUGGGGAAUAUCGCACAAUGGGCGCAAGCCUGAUGCAGCCAUGCCGCGUGUAUGAAGAAGGCCUUCGGGUUGUAAAGUACUUUCAGCGGGGAGGAAGGGAGUAAAGUUAAUACCGUUGCUCAUUGACGUUACCCGCAGAAGAAGCACCGGCUAACUCCGUG